UGGGGAAUAUUGGACAAUGGGCGCAAGCCUGAUCCAGCCAUGCCGCGUGAGUGAUGAAGGCCUUAGGGUUGUAAAGCUCUUUUACUCGGGAAGAUAGUGACGGUACCGAGGGAAUAAGCCCCGGCUAACUUCGUGCCAGCAGCCGCGGUAAUACGAAGGGGGCUAGCGUUGUUCGGAUUUACUGGGCGUAAAGCGCACGUAGGCGGAUCUUUAAGUCAGGGGUGAAAUCCCGAGGCUCAACCUCGGAACUGCCUUUGAUACUGGGGAUCUUGAGUCCGGAAGAGGUGAGUGGAACUGCGAGUGUAGAGGUGAAAUUCGUAGAUAUUCGCAAGAACACCAGUGGCGAAGGCGGCUCACUGGUCCGGAACUGACGCUGAGGUGCGAAAGCGUGGGGAGCAAAC
rnacentral:rRNA from 1 species